CGAUCUGCCAUCUGCGGUGGAGCCGCCACCAAAAUGCAGAUUUUCGUGAAAACCCUUACAGGGAAGACCAUCACCCUCGAGGUUGAACCCUCAGAUACGAUAGAAAAUGUAAAGGCCAAGAUCCAGGAUAAGGAAGGAAUUCCUCCUGAUCAGCAAAGACUGAUCUUUGCUGGCAAGCAACUGGAAGAUGGACGUACUUUGUCUGACUACAAUAUUCAAAAGGAGUCUACUCUUCAUCUUGUGUUGAGACUUCGUGGUGGUGUUAAGAAAAGGAAGAAGUCUUACACGACUCCCAAGAAGAAUAAGCACAAGAGAAAGAAGGUUAAGCUGGCUGUCCUGAAAUAUUAUAAGGUGGAUGAGAAUGGCAAAAUUAGUCGCCUUCGUCGAGAGUGCCCAUCUGAUGAAUGUGGUGCUGGGGUGUUUAUGGCAAGCCACUUUGACAGACAUUAUUGUGGCAAAUGUUGUCUGACUUAUUGCAUCAACAAGCCAGAAGACAAAUAACUGUAUGAGUUAAUAAAAGACACAAACUAACAAAAAAAAAA